rnacentral:lncRNA from 1 species
CAACAGUCCAUUGCCUCUCUAAGUACUUACUUAUAUCCCAUAGGAACUCUCAAGUUAAUGUUCUUGAGAUUAUUCAAAUCAUCCUAAAUCCUUAAUAUUUAUGCCUCUGGUGGUAUUGGUGGGGAAGUGGGGGAAGUUGUACGUUCCCAGGUUUCAUUUGCAUUCCUUCAGGAGACACUUCUUAUAUUGAAAUGCUGGAGGAUGAUCAAUAUGGAGUAUAUAGGGAACAAGACUAUUUAAGAUAGUUUCAAAACCAAGCUUGAUGGUAGUCAUCAUUAGAUUGGCUCACUUAAUACUGGAAAUUCUAGGAUUAAAUUGUAUACUCAGGUGUUUAUGUUUUUAAAUAUCAGGUUCAUUUCUUGAGAAUCACAUCUUAUAAUUUCAGACUUUGAUGCUAAUGGUGAAGAAAUAUUGCAUAACUGAGGAAGAAAAACCAGAGGCUCCCUUUCCAGAUUCUCAACAGCUUUAAUGCUUUUUUCUUCAUUGGCACAGCCCAGGUGGAAGAACCAGUGACGGGAAUUUCUCUCAUUCUCACCAAUCUGGAAGAACUAGUUACUAAGAUGGAGAUGAUGAAUAUAAUCUCGACUUCCGGUCAAGAUGGUGGCAUAGAAGCAGCGAAAGUUCAGACCUCAGAAACCCUUCCUUACCGAUUGCAAACAGAGUGCUCCUAGGCCACCAAAAUUCAAGUUGAACAACAGGAUAGACCUGGGGAAACCUGCUCCGGGACCUGGAUCAAAAGGUACUGCACCCCAAAAGCCAGAACCCUAGAUCACUCGGAUCUAAGGGGUAGACAGAAAGAAGGUCCCAGGACCCAUCCCCCCCAACCCAGAGUGCUGAGCCCAGGGCAGAAGUGGGAACCUCAGGGCUCUGAGGACUCACCUUGAAAGCAACCUGAGCCAGUCUCCGGGGCGCCCAACACAGACGGCAGGGAAACAUAGAGAGAAGGGGG